CCCAGCGCUUCGCGUACCAGGAAGGGGACGGCGUCCUGAAAGGGACAUUUAAAAAACGGAGGCAACGCGUCUAUUAAUUAGGUGGCGGCGCCUGGGGUCGCAGCACUCAAGAGGCUGAGAGUCUCGCCCUUUUGCCUAGUGGAGGAGCUCGGCUCACUGCAAGCUCCGCGCCACAACCCCCCCGCCGCCCCAGGUUCAAGCGAUUCUCCUGCCUCAGUCUCCCGAGUAGACUGGGAUUACAGGCGACUGCCACCAUGCCCGGCUAAUUUUUGUAUUUUUGGUAGAGACGGGGUUUCACUAUGUUGGCCAGGCUGAACCCGAACUCGUGACCUCAGGUGAUCUUCCCGCCUCAGUCUCUGAGUGCUGGGAUUGUAGGCGC
rnacentral:antisense_RNA from 1 species